rnacentral:lncRNA from 1 species
GAAUAUAUGACAAUGUAAUUUGAAGCAUAUGUCGAUCUCCUUAAUAUAACAUUGGCUGUGCAAAUUAAUAAACACACGUGAAAUAAUCUCGAUCUUACAAACAAAUUGGUGUACAAUUAAUUAAUAAAACCAAAUUACAUUGAUAAGAAUUAAUGAGAGAGAAAGAGAGGAAGCUAGAGAGAGAAAGUGGAGAGUCGACAUCCUCUCAUGUCGAUUUCAUCCGUGCAUCCAUCAAUCUAGCUAGCCACCAACUGCAUACACAUCAUAACAAAAUGAGCCAAGACUAUAUAGCAAAUUGUGAGAGAUCAUGUACAAACAGAUCGGUAUAUAUAUAUAUAUAUACUAUUCUUUUUCCCUACUAGUUAGUACUGGAUGAUUUGUUUUGUUUCGUUUUGGUUUGUUUUUUUUUUUUGACCGAGGAACCCACAGUAAUUUUUUUUCUUCUAGUGCAAACUUGAACCUCCAAACCCCAAAACGCCUCUAUUGAGUUUUGAGUUUUGAACUACAGUUACUAAAGUUGAGACUGACUAAUUAAUGCUUUAAUAGCUAUAGAACUAGGUGUGAGCUAAAUUAUUAAAACUACCCAAAUUUGGAAAAUAAUGCAUGUCCCCCGAAACGAGUACUGUUUCAGCACAAGAAAAUAAAUUAAGGAAAUAAUGCAAAAUUAAAAUUAGGGUUAGGGUUUUGAGAUAGAUGAAUUUGAUGCACGCAUGCAUGCAGUACGUACUUAAACUUGAAGUCUCUAGAGAGAGCAAGUGUAGCCAGGAGGGGGUGUCUUCCCACAAGUGACAAGGAGCUGCAGAGCGAGCGGAACAAAGAUCUUAAGAUUUAAAAGCUUUAUCUUCAAAGUGGUGCACAAGCACACUGCAGCAUCCAUCUCAACCAGCCCGGCAAGAACCGGACAACAUUCGUUCACAGCUGGGCCACCAAGUCCAACAUGAACCAACCCACCAAGAAGAUCCACACAAGCUCCAAGUUUAAGCGUGUCUAUUGGGCACGAGGCGGUGGUUGAUGGUGGCGGUGGGCAAGCCUUUCCCUUCCCCUUCCCCUUCGGUGGAACAGUCGUUACCGGAGGAAGGAUCCCCGGUGGAAGGAGUGGCGGCACAAUCCCCGGCGGAAGAAUUGGCGGCACAAUCCCCGGCGGAAGGGUAACCGGUGGUAUGGUUACGGGUGGCUUUAUUGGCGGGAGGGUAACUGGUGGGAGGGUUACAGGUGGCUUUACUAUUGGCGGUAUGGUCACCGGCGGGAGGGUUACGGGUGGCUUUACUAUUGGCGGUAGAGUCACCGGAGGUAGGGUUACGGGUGGCUUUAUUGGUGGAAGGGUCACCGGCGGUAGGGUUACGGGUGGCUUUAUUGGUGGGAGGGUCACCGGCGGUAGGGUUANNNN